rnacentral:rRNA from 1 species
GAGCGGAGAUGAGGUGCUUGCACCUUAUCUUAGCGGCGGACGGGUGAGUAAUGCUUAGGAAUCUGCCUAUUAGUGGGGGACAACAUUCCGAAAGGGAUGCUAAUACCGCAUACGUCCUACGGGAGAAAGCAGGGGAUCUUCGGACCUUGCGCUAAUAGAUGAGCCUAAGUCGGAUUAGCUAGUUGGUGGGGUAAAGGCCUACCAAGGCGACGAUCUGUAGCGGGUCUGAGAGGAUGAUCCGCCACACUGGGACUGAGACACGGCCCAGACUCCUACGGGAGGCAGCAGUGGGGAAUAUUGGACAAUGGGGGGAACCCUGAUCCAGCCAUGCCGCGUGUGUGAAGAAGGCCUUAUGGUUGUAAAGCACUUUAAGCGAGGAGGAGGCUACUGAGACUAAUACUCUUGGAUAGUGGACGUUACUCGCAGAAUAAGCACCGGCUAACUCUGUGCCAGCAGCCGCGGUAAUACAGAGGGUGCGAGCGUUAAUCGGAUUUACUGGGCGUAAAGCGUGCGUAGGCGGCUUUUUAAGUCGGAUGUGAAAUCCCCGAGCUUAACUUGGGAAUUGCAUUCGAUACUGGGAAGCUAGAGUAUGGGAGAGGAUGGUAGAAUUCCAGGUGUAGCGGUGAAAUGCGUAGAGAUCUGGAGGAAUACCGAUGGCGAAGGCAGCCAUCUGGCCUAAUACUGACGCUGAGGU